ACAGUCACACUAUUAGACUACCCCUGUAGUCCCAGCCGUAAACUAUGCUCGCUAGGUGUCAGGCAUGGCGCGACCGUGUCUGGUGCCGCAGGGAAACCGUGAAACGUGCCGCCUGGGAAGUACGGUCGCAAGGCUGAAACUUAAAGGAAUUGGCGGGGAGCACCACAACGGGUGGAGCCUGCGGUUUAAUUGGACUCAACGCCGGGAAGCUCACCGGAUAAGACAGCGGAAUGAUUGCCGGGCUGAAGACUCUGCAUGACUAGCUG
rnacentral:rRNA from 1 species